GGCAGUGUGGUGCAGAGCUUUGAGUAUAGGACUACAACUCUGAAGACCUGAGUUCGAUUCCCAGCUCAGCCA